rnacentral:rRNA from 1 species
GAUAAACGCUGGCGGCGUGCCUAAAACAUGCAAGUCGAACGGACCAUUUCGGUGGUCAGUGGCGAACGGCUGAGUAACACGUGGGUGACCUGCCCUCGAGCGGGGGAUAACUGCCCGAAAGGGUGGCUAAUACCGCAGACAUCGAUCAUUCGGUUGGUCGAUUGAACUUAUGGGGUUCGGGGAGGGGCCCGCGGUCGAUUAGCUAGCUGGUGGGGUAACGGCCUACCAGGGCUGCGAUCGAUAGCUGGUCUGAGAGGAUGAUCAGCCAGACUGGGACUGCGAACGGCCCAGACUCCUACGGGAGGCAGCAGUUAGGAAUUUUGGGCAAUGGGCGAAAGCCUGACCCAGCAACGCCGCGUGGGUGAUGAAGGCCCUCGGGUCGUAAAGCCCUUUUCCCAGGGAAGAUGGUGACGGUACCUGGGGAAUCAGCCCCGGCUAACUACGUGCCAGCAGCCGCCGUAACAC